CAGGGAUUGCCUUAGUAACGGCGAGUGAAGCGGCAACAGCUCAAAUUUGAAAUCUGGCCCUUGGGUCCGAAUUGUAAUUUGUAGAGGAUGAUUUUGGUGCGGUAUCUUCCGAGUUCCUUGGAACAGGACGCCUUAGAGGGUGAGAGCCCCGUACGGUUGAAUGCCUAGCCUCUGUAAAUCUCCUUCGACGAGUCGAGUAGUUUGGGAAUGCUGCUCUAAAUGGGAGGUAAAUUUCUUCUAAAGCUAAAUAUUGGCCAGAGACCGAUAGCGCACAAGUAGAGUGAUCGAAAGAUGAAAAGCACUUUGAAAAGAGGGUUAAAUAGCACGUGAAAUUGUUGAAAGGGAAGGAUUUGUGACCAGACUUUUUCUGGGCGGAUCAUCCGGGGUUCUCUCCGGUGCACUUCGCCCAGUAAAGGCCAGCAUCGGUUUUCGGCGUGGGAUAAAAGCAGUAGGAAUGUGGCUCUCUACGGGGAGUGUUAUAGCCUAUUGUAUAAUACCGCGCUGGGGACCGAGGUUCGCGCUUCUGCAAGGAUGCUGGCGUAAUGGUUAUCAAUCACCCGUCUUGAAACACGGACCAAGGAGUCGAACAUUUGUGCGAGUGUUUGGGUGUUAAACCCUCACGCGUAAUGAAAGUGAACGGAGGUGAGAGCCCUUACGGGUGCAUCAUCGACCGAUCCUGAAGUUUUCGGAUGGAUUUGAGUAAGAGCAUAACUGUUCGGACCCGAAAGAUGGUGAACUAUGCGUGGAUAGGGUGAAGCCAGAGGAAACUCUGGUGGAGGCUCGCAGCGGUUCUGACGUGCAAAUCGAUCGUCAAAUCUGCGCAUGGGGGCGAAAGACUAAUCGAACCAUCUAGUAGCUGGUUACCGCCG
rnacentral:rRNA from 1 species